GGGUGUGAUCAUACCAGCAUUAGUGCACCAAAUCCCAUCAGAACUCUGCAGUUAAAUGCACUUGGGCUAGAGUAGUACUGGGAUGGGUGACCUCCCGAGAAGUCCUGGUGUUGCACCCU